AUUGAACGCUGGCGGCAGGCCUAACACAUGCAAGUCGAGCGGAAACGAGUUAUCUGAACCUUCGGGGAACGAUAACGGCGUCGAGCGGCGGACGGGUGAGUAAUGCCUAGGAAAUUGCCCUGAUGUGGGGGAUAACCAUUGGAAACGAUGGCUAAUACCGCAUGAUGCCUACGGGCCAAAGAGGGGGACCUUCGGGCCUCUCGCGUCAGGAUAUGCCUAGGUGGGAUUAGCUAGUUGGUGAGGUAAGGGCUCACCAAGGCGACGAUCCCUAGCUGGUCUGAGAGGAUGAUCAGCCACACUGGAACUGAGACACGGUCCAGACUCCUACGGGAGGCAGCAGUGGGGAAUAUUGCACAAUGGGCGCAAGCCUGAUGCAGCCAUGCCGCGUGUGUGAAGAAGGCCUUCGGGUUGUAAAGCACUUUCAGUCGUGAGGAAGGURGUGUAGUUAAUAGCUGCAUUAUUUGACGUUAGCGACAGAAGAAGCACCGGCUAACUCCGUGCCAGCAGCCGCGGUAAUACGGAGGGUGCGAGCGUUAAUCGGAAUUACUGGGCGUAAAGCGCAUGCAGGUGGUUUGUUAAGUCAGAUGUGAAAGCCCGGGGCUCAACCUCGGAAUAGCAUUUGAAACUGGCAGACUAGAGUACUGUAGAGGGGGGUAGAAUUUCAGGUGUAGCGGUGAAAUGCGUAGAGAUCUGAAGGAAUACCGGUGGCGAAGGCGGCCCCCUGGACAGAUACUGACACUCAGAUGCGAAAGCGUGGGGAGCAAACAGGAUUAGAUACCCUGGUAGUCCACGCCGUAAACGAUGUCUACUUGGAGGUUGUGGCCUUGAGCCGUGGCUUUCGGAGCUAACGCGUUAAGUAGACCGCCUGGGGAGUACGGUCGCAAGAUUAAAACUCAAAUGAAUUGACGGGGGCCCGCACAAGCGGUGGAGCAUGUGGUUUAAUUCGAUGCAACGCGAAGAACCUUACCUACUCUUGACAUCCAGAGAACUUUCCAGAGAUGGAUUGGUGCCUUCGGGAACUCUGAGACAGGUGCUGCAUGGCUGUCGUCAGCUCGUGUUGUGAAAUGUUGGGUUAAGUCCCGCAACGAGCGCAACCCUUAUCCUUGUUUGCCAGCGAGUAAUGUCGGGAACUCCAGGGAGACUGCCGGUGAUAAACCGGAGGAAGGUGGGGACGACGUCAAGUCAUCAUGGCCCUUACGAGUAGGGCUACACACGUGCUACAAUGGCGCAUACAGAGGGCGGCCAACUUGCGAAAGUGAGCGAAUCCCAAAAAGUGCGUCGUAGUCCGGAUUGGAGUCUGCAACUCGACUCCAUGAAGUCGGAAUCGCUAGUAAUCGUGGAUCAGAAUGCCACGGUGAAUACGUUCCCGGGCCUUGUACACACCGCCCGUCACACCAUGGGAGUGGGCUGCAAAAGAAGUAGGUAGUUUAACCUUCGGGGGGACGCUUACCACUUUGUGGUUCAUGACUGGGGUG
rnacentral:rRNA from 1 species